rnacentral:rRNA from 1 species
CGGAGGGUGCAAGCGUUGUUCGGAAUUAUUGGGCGUAAAGGGCAGGUAGGUGGUCUUUUAAGUCUACUGUGAAAUCCCUGGGCUUAACCCAGGAAGUGCGGUGGAUACUAUAAGACUAGAGUGCCGGAAGGGUGCGUAGAAUUCUCGGUGUAGCGGUGAAAUGCGUAGAUAUCGAGAGGAAUACCAGAGGCGAAGGCGGCGCACUGGACGGCAACUGACACUCAACUGCGAAAGCGUGGGGAGCAAACAGGAUUAGAUACCCUGGUAGUCCACGCUGUAAACGAUGGAUACUAGACGUGGCGGGUCUUGACCCCUGCCGUGUCGACGUUAACACAGUAAGUAUCCCGCCUGGGGAGUACGGUCGCAAGACUA